rnacentral:rRNA from 1 species
GCUAACUACGUGCCAGCAGCCGCGGUAAUACGUAGAGUGCAAGCGUUGUCCGGAAUUAUUGGGCGUAAAGGGUACGCAGGCGGAUAAUCAAGUCAAGCGUGAAAGGUGUCGGCUUAACCGACAGACUGCGUUUGAAACUGGUUAUCUUGAGUGUAACAGAGGAGAGUGGAAUUCCUAGUGUAGUGGUGAAAUACGUAGAUAUUAGGAAGAACACCAGUGGCGAAGGCGACUCUCUGGGUUAACACUGACGCUGAGGUACGAAAGCUGGGGGAGCGAACGGGAUUAGAUACCCCUGUAGUC